GACAAUACCGGCAGCCUGAAGGGAAUUUCGAACCCAGUAUGAGCUGUAGAGACAACUGACGGCGGCUGGGCGGGGCAUGGGUUAACGGAGGUGUGCUAGUGGUACAAGGUUGUGCGGUCGCCCCGGGACCGUCUACUUUCACGGCGAGUAAUCGCUCGCAGCUGUGGGGAAAAGUUUUGAAGUGGGGCCAUGAGUUCGAGGCGGAGAGCAGAGCGCGUAAUUAACCUCGAAUACCUUUCCGCGGCGGCGGUAGAGCACUGCUAUUAAGCGAUUUUGGAGAAGACAGAUGAAUUCGAGUUCCUUUCAGAUCUAGUCCAUAGAUUUGCACUGCUGACUUUGAGUGUGGGGGACGAACUUGUUGACAAGGAGGCUUCCGGUGGAUCUGUCGGAUUAAGCCGGUGGUUGCACCGAUGACAGGGAUGUGAGCGCCGCGGUAGCCGUGAGGCCUAUGGACCUGAACGACAAUGGUACUUGCGAGACUGCCUUUGCGGCGGACUCGGGUCAGUUGGUGCUGAGAGAUGAUCCACAAACGCCUGGCUGGACAAAAGACGUUCAACGAUUUAGCUGCUACUCAGUCGUCUAAUUAUUGUGUGUUGGCCUUUUAGUGCUGUGGCAAGUCUGUCCAUAGUGUGGUUGCUGAAUUUGUAAUUGGAUGUUGCAGGAUACCGCAGAGCACCCCUGGAGCGGCCGCGGUGCGACGACAGGGUGUGCGGAAGAACUUCAGGGAAUUUGCUGAAGAAACAACAGAUAUAGUACUUGUUCUGAUAGUUGGUAGUUCCUUCGACUCACUAGGAGAAGCAUAUGGUUAUUACAACCUGUACUUGUAGGAAAUUCGCUUUUGUGUGAGGUAUGUGAAGAGCCGGCUGAACGUCGAUCGAACCAAGUGUAUGCAGGAAAUUGUCUGUGGCUGCUUGGUGAGGCAAACUCAGAAGUCAGAAUUAGAUUAUAGGGAAGCAUGACAAAUGGUGCAAAGUUGUCUAUGGAGUGGAGGUAUUUGAAAAUGGAGCAGAGAUUACAUGCGAGUGGUAAUUUCGAGCAUGCUUGUGUGCUCUACUGCCACUGCCAUGCUGGUAAUGACCUCGAUUUCCUGGGCUUCACCAAGAUAACAAAGAAGCACAUUCUAAAAAGAUGAAGCAAGGAUGCAAUAGAUGUGCUGCCAGAUCAUUUGGCAAACCUGCAGAAGGACCAGAUUUUGCUUAACUCUAUCAAAUUUCGCCAUUCGAAUUUGUACACACACGUUAUGGAGGUUGUAAUGCUUGGGGACCCAAACACAACAUCAUACAAGGCAGCAAUAGAGCUCAUUAAGGCAGCAAUGCGGAAGCUGACGCUUCUGCAGUAUAUGCCGGCAAACAGGACAUAGAAGUACAGCUUCUGAAACCAAGGAAGGAAUCCAAAUGCUCAAACAUGUGCAGCAACCUGAAAAGUUGUAUCUCUGCCUGGGCGAGGCUUUCCACCUUCGGUUUGGAUGUUUUCUGUGGAUCAACUUGAAAAUUUUCCUGUUGGGCGAGGGCUCAGUAACCGUGUAUGCAAUAGCCGAAUAUUGUUGUCUAGUGUAGCAACCGUGUAUUUGUAUGUAACAGUACCGCGCUGCUGUAUUUGGUUGUGCUGUAUCUAUGGAACCCGAUUAAGGGCAAGUUUUUUUUUCCGUGAGUCUGCACAUUUAGAUUGUUUUAGAGAAGCACUCAUGUAUGGGUAAACGGAUGAGUGGACACAAAUCACUCUGCCACAUAUAUUGAUGCGCAGGUUGUUUUA